AGCGAACGCUGGCGGCAGGCUUAACACACGCAAGUCGAGCGCACGUAGCAAUACGUGAGCGGCAGACGGGAGAGUAACACGUGGGAACGUACCUUUCGGUUCGGAAUAACUCAGGGAAACUUGAGCUAAUACCGGAUACGCCCGCAAGGGGAAAGGUUUAUUGCCGAAAGAUCGGCCCGCGUCCGAUUAGCUAGUUGGUGGGGGAAUGGCCCACCAAGGCGACGAUCGGUAGCUGGUCUGAGAGGAUGAUCAGCCUCACUGGGACUGAGAAACGGCCCAGACUCCUACGGGAGGCAGCAGUGGGGAAUAUUGGACAAUGGGCGCAAGCCUGAUCCAACCAUGCAGCGUGGGUGAUGAAGGCCUUAGGGUUGUAAAGCCCUUUCGGCGGGGAAGAUAAUGACGGUACCCGCAGAAGAAGCCCCGGCUAACUUCGUGCCAGCCGCCGCUGUAACAC
rnacentral:rRNA from 1 species